GAGGGUAUAGCUCAGUGGUAGAGUGUGUGCUUAGCAUGCACGAGGUCCUGGGUUCAAUCCCCAGUAUCUCCA
rnacentral:tRNA from 1 species